rnacentral:rRNA from 1 species
AAUGAACGCUGGCGGCGUGCUUAACACAUGCAAGUCGAACGAGAACAGAGUAGCUUGCUAUUCUAAGUAAAGUGGCGCACGGGUGAGUAACGCGUGGAUAAUCUACCCCUGAAUUGGGAAUAACAUAGCGAAAGUUGUGCUAAUACCGAAUGACAUCGAUUUAACCUUGGUUUUUUCGAUCAAAGACAGCCUCUGCAUAUGCUGUUGUUUGGGGAUGAGUCCGCGUGUCAUUAGCUAGUUGGUAGGGUAAAGGCCUACCAAGGCUACGAUGACUAGCUGGUCUGAGAGGAUGAUCAGUCACACUGGAACUGAGACACGGUCCAGACUCCUACGGGAGGCAGCAGUGAGGAAUUUUGCGCAAUGGGGGCAACCCUGACGCAGCAACGCCGCGUGAGUGAAGAAGGCUUUCGGGUCGUAAAACUCUGUCAAAUGGGAAGAAUGAGAUGGUAAUGAAUAAGUGCCAUCAGUGACGGUACCAUUAGAGGAAGCACCGGCUAACUCCGUGCCAGCCGCCGCAGUAACAC